rnacentral:rRNA from 1 species
GAUGAACGCUGGCGGCGUGCCUAAUACAUGCAAGCCGAGCGAACAGACGAGGAGCUUGCUCCUCUGACGUUAGCGGCGGACGGGUGAGUAACACGUGGAUAACCUACCUAUAAGACUGGGAUAACUUCGGGAAACCGGAGCUAAUACCGGAUAACAUGUUGAACCGCAUGGUUUAACAGUGAAAGACGGUCUUGCUGUCACUUAUAGAUGGAUCCGCGCCGCAUUAGCUAGUUGGUAAGGUAACGGCUUACCAAGGCAACGAUGCGUAGCCGACCUGAGAGGGUGAUCGGCCACACUGGAACUGAGACACGGUCCAGACUCCUACGGGAGGCAGCAGUAGGGAAUCUUCCGCAAUGGGCGAAAGCCUGACGGAGCAACGCCGCGUGAGUGAAGAAGGUCUUCGGAUCGUAAAACUCUGUUAUUAGGGAAGAACAAAUGUGUAAGUAACUAUGCACGUCUUGACGGUACCUAAUCAGAAAGCCACGGCUAACUACGUG